CCAGCCCCGACCCUGCAGCUGGGAGACGAGCCCCAGCGCCAGGAGUCCCAGGUGUUCCCAUUCUGUGAUCAGCACAGAACACACACACCUCACCAUGGAGUUUGUGCUGGGCUGGGUGUUCCUGGUUGCUCUUUUAAAAGGUGUCCAGUGUGACGUGCAGCUGGUGGAGUCUGGGGGAGACCUGGUGAAGCCUGGGGGGUCCCUGAGACUCACCUGUGUGGCCUCUGGAUUCACCUUCAGUAGCUAUGCAAUGGGCUGGGUCCGCCAGGCUCCAGGGAAGGGGCUGCAGUGGGUCGCAGAAAUUAGUAGUAGUGGAGGUAGCACAUACUACGCAGACUCCGUGAAGGGCCGAUUCACCAUCUCCAGAGACAACGCCAAGAACACGGUGUCUCUGCAGAUGAACAACCUCAAGACCGAGGACACAGCCACAUAUUACUGUGCGAAAGACACAACUUCGGGUGGACAAGGGCCUGUGUCCACACGGACAAGAACCAGUUUCGUCAGGACACCCUGUGGAGGAUUCGAGAGGACGAGAGCCCACGUCCACACCGACAAGAACCCGGUUUCGUCAGGACCUGUUGUGGAUGAUUCAGGAGGACCUGGGCCUGCGUCCACACAGACAAGGACCCAGUCUCCUCAGGAGCCACUGUAG